rnacentral:rRNA from 1 species
AUGAACGCUGGCGGCGUGCCUAAUACCUGCAAGUCGAGCGAACAGACGAGGAGCUUGCUCCUCUGACGUUAGCGGCGGACGGGUGAGUAACACGUGGAUAACCUACCUAUAAGACUGGGAUAACUUCGGGAAACCGGAGCUAAUACCGGAUAAUAUAUUGAACCGCAUGGUUCAAUAGUGAAAGACGGUUUUGCUGUCACUUAUAGAUGGAUCCGCGCCGCAUUAGCUAGUUGGUAAGGUAACGGCUUACCAAGGCAACGAUGCGUAGCCGACCUGAGAGGGUGAUCGGCCACACUGGAACUGAGACACGGUCCAGACUCCUACGGGAGGCAGCAGUAGGGAAUCUUCCGCAAUGGGCGAAAGCCUGACGGAGCAACGCCGCGUGAGUGAUGAAGGUCUUCGGACCGUAAAACUCUGUUAUUAGGGAAGAACAAAUGUGUAAGUAACUAUGCACGUCUUGACGGUACCUAAUCAGAAAGCCACGGCUAACUACGUG